UCUUUCCCCAAGCUCCUCCUUCCUUUGCCAGGUUUCCUUCCCUCUCAUCCCAUUUUACUGAUCCCUCCAUCCCACUACCCACAUAACAAAGGACAGUGAUUUAAAGUAUCUCACAGUUGCUGAUUAUCUAUGUUUACCUUACAGCCUCACCUUAUGCCAUUUGCCAACUCAAAGCUCUCCUGGAGAAGGAACACUGGGGUGCAGUUGGAUGACUUUAAAACUUAGUCACUAACAAAUAGUCUAGGUUAACUUGUCUUUGGACUUUUAAAAUACCUGUAAAAUGAAUCUAUGGCAAAAAUAAGGUGUAAAAAGAGUCCCUCCUGGAAGCCUAUCUGGAGUUGGGAAAUGGGUGGGCCUGAUCUAAACAAAUUAUAUUAAAGUAUGAAAUACCAGAGAAUCCAUUUUUAAAAUUCCUUAAUUCAGUGUUGUUGAUGCAAAAGACAGAGCUCUCAGCUGCUCAAAGGGAAUAAGUAAGAGUUUAUUCUAAUUUCACACGUGAAUGACCAUGGCCCAGGAACACAGAUUUUGGUACCCUGAAAUUUCAUGUUCCAGCAUGGAAUCAGUUUUGUGAAGUUUUUAUAGGAACAGAACAAAGAAAGGUAUAAGUCAUGACUCGCUGAAGCACAUAGGUGGGAACAUCAGAGAGGUGAUCACACCAACUUGAGAAUCUCCCCUGCAGGAAUUAGAUUAGUUACCCAGUGACAUUCCUAGUUUGGGGGGUCUGUGGGAGCUAGUUGCCUGCUAAGGUAAUGGCGUCUAAAAGGAUUAGUCACAGGAUAUUAAUUUUGGCACAGAGAUGGACAAGGGAUGGAUAAGGGACGGUUAUUUGGUUACUCAUGGGGCUAAAACUAGCCCAGAUAAGGUAACUAGGCUCAGAACCUGCCACACUCUCACCCCUCUGUGUUACUGAAGUUCUAAUCAGCCAGUUAGUGCGGCUUCAGACACACCUCUUUUUUCUUUCUUUUUCUUCAGAAGUUCUCCUUCACUGUCCUUGGCUUUACUGUCCUUGGUUGCUUUCUAUUGCUGUGAUAAUUAUCAUUACCAAAGCAAUUUUGGAGAGGAAAUGGUUUACUUCAUCUGAUAGCUACUAGUCUAUCAUGAAGGAAAGUCAGGGCAGGAACUCCAGGCAGGAAUCUGGCAGCAGGAGCUGAAGGCAGAAGUCAUGGAGGAGCACUCUUACUGGCUUGCUCUCCACAGCUUAUUCAGUUUCAUAUUAUACAGUCCAAGACCACCUGCCCAGGAGUGGCACUGCCCACAGUGGGCUGGACCUUCUCAUAUCCAUCAAGGACAUCCCCCACAGACUUGCUCACAGGCCAACCUGAUGGAGGCAUCUUCUUCAGCGAGAUUCCCUCUCCAGAUGAUUCUCCAUAUGUCAUGGCGACAGAGAAGUAACUAGCCCAACAAUGUUUUCCUUUUCUGAAUAAACCCAACCUCUCUCCCUAUUCCCUGCUCCCUCC
rnacentral:lncRNA from 1 species